GGGCCUGUAGUCUAGUGGUCAUGAUGUCGCCCUUACAAGGCGGAGGUCACCGGUUCGAACCCGGUCAGGCCCA
rnacentral:tRNA from 1 species